rnacentral:rRNA from 1 species
UACGUAGGCAGCAAGCGUUGUUCGGAGUUACUGGGCGUAAAGAGUGUGUAGGCGGUUCUCCAAGUUCGGUGUGAAAUCUCCCGGCUCAACUGGGAGGGGGCGCCGGAAAAUGGAGGGCUUGAGUAUGGGAGAGGAAAGUGGAAUUCCUGGUGUAGCGGUGAAAUGCGUAGAUAUCAGGAGGAACACCUGCGGUGUAGACAGCUUUCUGGACCAUCACUGACGCUGAGACACGAAAGCGUGGGUAGCAAACAGG